GGUUGGAUGGCCGAGUGGUCUAAGGCGCCAGAUUCAGGACCAGCACCGAGCGGUGCAUCUCAUGUGUAGUACAUUCUGGUCCGCAAGGGCGUGGGUUCGAAUCCCACUCCAAUCA